UUUCCCUGUGGGUUCUGGGAAAGGGCACCUUCAUAAGAAAACAUAUUAUAUUGUUAUUCAAACCAGAAUGUUUCAUUUCUUCGAGGAAUGAAGACAACUGAUUCCAAAUAGCAAACAAAAACAAUGGCCGCUCCUGUUUCUUGGAAGUCUGAAGGAUUUGCAUCAACAGAAAACAGCAGCUGCUAGGAUAGGUUUAUUUCCUUGUUAUUUAUUUCCUUAGCAGUUACCCAUAACUGGUGUUUCACUUUCUGACCUAACCUAGAGUUACUCCUUUCCGCACUACUGAUUGAAGUCUGCUGAGAUUCCACAUGUGCUGGUCUGGUCUGAUUUGCAGAACUGUGCUGAGUCCUGCUCAGAGAGGAAUACUAUUGCUCUUCUGCCACCUCUCCUGAGACAAAAUCAGCCAAACUCUGCAGAAAACAAGGGGUUAAUAGCAGUGAUGCAACAAGACUGUUUCCUGGAAAAGGAGAUAUUGUCUACAAGUGUUCACAGUGCCUUUCAGAGAGUAAAAGAGAAUUGAAACAGGCUCUAUUCUCAAAUAGCUGACAUUGAGCAUCUUCCAGCUAAAAUAUUCUUUACAAAGCACUAGAAUUAUUUUCCAUUAGGUGGUCAACAAUAUGCUCAGGUGAAUGCAGAUAGGGUUUAGAGCAAUACAGCCUCAAACUUCUAAAAUAGUAGAAGGGCUCAGAAAGGAAGGGAGCCUAGGUCUAAUUCAAAACUUAAUAUGUGUUUUCAACAUGCAUAGCUGCUACAACAGUAAAAGUUAAAGGACCAACAAUAACUCUGGCCAGUUUUAUUUAUGCUGGGUUUCAGCCCAAAUAAAAAUUCCCAGAAGAAAAAGAAAAGGAAGGUCAUGAUAGGAAGCACUGAGGUGACUGGAGCUCUGAUCAGUCAGGCUUCUAAAGCUUAAUUCUUAACCCUAGGCUUCUUUCUGCUGGUAAAAAUAGCUGCUGCCAAAAUAGUGAUGGCUUUAAAGAAGCUGUGGUGCUUUUGCUUCCAGAGGAAUUCCAUAUUGUUUCUGUGUACAGCAUUAAAACAAAUAUGUGGUAGAGAAAAUAAUAUUGGAGUUGCAAUAGAGAUUUUCCAGCUGCUCUUUAAUUUUUCCAAAAGAAAUAAUUGAGGGCAAAAUGAAAAUACAAGAUCCUUCUUUGAAUAGAGUCCUUUCUUCGCUGUAGGCAAAAAUGAAUACACAGGAUCUUGAGCUGAGCUGAAACAGAUCUCUGAGGAUCCAUUUAGAGGGAUAUUUGAAGGCUUUGAAGAAUUCAGUGAAAAAAGGAGGCUGGAUUCUCAUCAGGAAUGCAGUGAAGCUAAGGAUUCUUCAAAAGAAAGGAGAAGUCUGUGCACUGGCCCUGCAAAAAGGCAGGAAGGGGAAAGACAGAAGCAAUCUCUGCUGGGUCAAGUAGACAAAGCAAGAUACAAUGUGUGGGAGGGCUGGAAGAAGAAGAAAAUAUACUUCCAGUCCCCAGUCUUGGUGGAUUAUUAAAUGUCAGAAUGCUCGGCCAUCUGGUGAUGUCGUCAAAACCCAUUCUUGGGGUUGCUUUGAAAGGCCCUUGCACAACAUGCUACUCUACGAAAGAGCGAGUUGGAGCUGUGUACCAUUUCUUCAAGGCAGAAGAGCUCGCAGCAGGGCAGGAUUGUUCAUCCCUGCUGCCUGCAGGGGAAUGCAAAGAGGUUUGUGCAUAAUGAUCUCCUACCAGGACCGUGGGAUUUACCAUCAACCUGCACAGUGGGCUUUGCUUGUGAUGUGCAGUCUGGCCUAUGGCCCCAGCUGCCAUUAUCAGUAGGACAUUCAGGUUCAGAUGUGUUUUAAGUUCUUACCCAUUAAACCAACGUGACUGAAGAGCAUUGACAGUGAGAGCUGUCUGUCUCCUUUUUGCAGGUGCUCAUUCAUCCUUCACCGCUACAAGCUGUGGCCUGGUGUGUUGUGACUAACAGCAGGCAGUGGGAGGCCUGCUUUUGUUCCUGCAUCUCUUACUGACUUUGGGAAAUCUCUCCUGCUGUCUACUAAAGUUUCUCUGAAAAGCAUUUUAAACCAUUUUUUUUUGUUACCAUGUUGGCGAUUAGAAGCAGACUGCAUCCCAUAUUCUAGGACUUCUUAAUGGAGAUUGCUUGUUCGAUUUUCCAAGGAACCUAGGAGUAAAUCUGGAGUGUUGUGAUUGCUACAUAAUCAUCUUGAGGUUUAACCCUACUGGGUUAAACACAUUUCUUGAGUUCUUUGAGAAGAACUCCCUCAGGCACCUGGGAACACACCGUUCAGUCAUGUCGUGCUCUUUGCUGGUGAUGCUUGUCUGUUCCUUUUCUGAGUUUUCAGGGCUGGUAGCCUGGCAGCUGGUGCAUUUGGAGAGCCAACUUGUCAGAGACAGAGAACAAAAACAGAUGUUUAAGAUACCCAUUGAAGACUUGCUGAUGCCUUAUGGAAUGUGGCAAAAUGUUUAAGGUGAUUACAGCCCAUGUUUCUCACUGAUGAAUGUGGCAGAAAACUGUUGCAGAUCAAUCUGCUGGAGAAUGACAAGUGCAGUGAAGAGAAGGAAAAUUUCAUACUUGUGUGUCACUACACAAAUCAGCUGAACUUGGAUUAUAAGAAUAGAGCAAAAUAAAGGAGUUUUGGAGGGGGAGAAAAGACAACUCAGCAUGAAGCAGGCCUCAGAUUUCCCACACUUCCAUGAGAGGGCAAAACAAGCACUGAAACAAGAAUAGCUAUUCAUGUGCAAUAGGUGUUGGAAGAAAGAAGUAAGGAUUUUACUUUGCCUUUGAUUGCUGAACUGUGCUUUUUGUCUGUGACAGCUGCCAUCUAAUUAUUGGUCCAUCUCAACAGAAUUGAAAUGAUUUUGCAAGGGCAGAAAGAUGGGCAGCAGGACUGCGCUCUCUAGGUCUCAUACUUGAUACCUGGGUAACCAACAUCAUAUUCAAUCUCCAUUUGAAAAAACAAGUGAGUUCUGGAGGGCCAGGCUCACUAAAUGCGUAGCAGUGCUUCCUGAGGCUUUUUUUUUGUUUCCUAAAGUCUGUAACUUAAGACACUGAGAAAUGCAAGCUCUUUCAUGAGAUUUAAGGAAUUCCUUUGUGAGGACUUCCAUUACCGUCAGGCCUGCUGCACUUGUCUUUGAAGGGUUUGGCCAACAGGUGUCUACAGGUUGAGCUCCCAGAGAAUGCACUACUUAAGCAGGAGGGCUCAGAUGUCUCCAAUAAUGAUUUGAGGAAGCAGAGUUUGUGAGCAAGAGGGUCCAUAUACCCAGAAUGGAUGUCAUGUAAGAGGGAAGAAUGAUGAAUACUCUAUAUUUCCUUUCUGCAAGUCAAGAUGCUUUAAUCAAUUACAAGGUGAAUGCUCAGGACAGUGGGAGCUGAGAGGUUUUGUAGUUCUGAGUUAUAGGUUACCCAACCUUAACCAUGUGCCAAUCUCCAACCCUGAAGGUCAGUUCAAGCAAAUGUCAGUCCUAUUGUUUGUGAAUUGCUACUGCUGUAUUCAUAGAAUCAGAGGACAGCUUGGGAGAGACCACUUGAGUCUCAAAUCCAUUCCCUUAUUCCCAGCAGGCCUAAUUCUAAAGUUAGAUAAGGUUGCUAAUGUUCAAAUAAGUCCUAAAAUCCCAAUUCUGAGCCACUCGCCUUGGCUCUGCUGAUGGGAUUUUGUGUGUGUGUGUGUUAAGUCUAGUUGGAAUUUCCUUUGCUGCAACCUGUAUUCAUUUCCUCUCACUCUUUCAAAUCUGGACCUUAAUGGAGUGUCUGACUUUCUCAUAGCCUUUUCUACAGUCUGAGAUAGCAAUUGAGUCCCCCACAACCUUCUCUUCUCCAGGCCAAAAAUUCAGGUCCCUCGCCUCUCUUUCUACGUAUUUCAGAUACCUGAUCUUCUUGGAGGACCCAGCUCAGUAUAUUGAUAUCUCUCAUGACCAGGGAAAACCAGAAAUGGAAACUGUCCCAGAUGCAGCCUCAUGAGCACUUGACAAAAGGGAACAGUCACUUGCCUAGUUUGCUCUCUUGCCUCUGCAGCCUAGUAUGCUUUUAGCCUAUUUCUGCCAAGGCAUACUUCUGGGUAUUGUCAACUGUUGUCCAUCAGGAGCCCGAGGCCUUUUUCUACAAAGUUGCCUUCUAGGCAGAAAGGAUCCAGCCUGCACUGGGAACUGGGGGCUUCACAAGACACCCAUUUUA